rnacentral:rRNA from 1 species
AUUGAACGCUGGCGGCAGGCCUAACACAUGCAAGUCGAACGAGUGGCGGACGGGUGAGUAAUGUCUGGGAAACUGCCUGAUGGAGGGGGCUAACUACUGGACACGGUAGCUAAUACCGCAUACUAUCGUAUGAACCCAUAUGGGAUUAGCUAUUAGGUGAGGUAAUGGCUCCCCUAGGCGACGAUCCCUAGCUGGUCUGAGAGGAGGAUCAGCAACACUGGGACUGAGACACGGCCCAGACGCCUACGGGAGGCAGCAGUGGGGAAUAUUGCACACUGGGCGCAAGCCUGAUGCAGCCAUGCCGCGUGUAUGAAGAAGGCCUUCGGGUUGUAAAGUACUUUCAGCGGGGAGGCGUUACCCGCAGAAGAAGCACCGGCUAACUCCGUGCCAGCAGCCGCGGUAAUUC